UGGGGAAUUUUGGACAAUGGGCGCAAGCCUGAUCCAGCAAUGCCGCGUGCAGGAUGAAGGCCUUCGGGUUGUAAACUGCUUUUGUACGGAACGAAACGGCGAGCUCUAAUACAGUUUGCUAAUGACGGUACCGUAAGAAUAAGCACCGGCUAACUACGUGCCAGCAGCCGCGGUAAUACGUAGGGUGCAAGCGUUAAUCGGAAUUACUGGGCGUAAAGCGUGCGCAGGCGGUUAUGCAAGACAGAUGUGAGAUCCCCGGGCUCAACCUGGGAACUGCAUUUGUGACUGCAUAGCUAGAGUGCGGCAGAGGGGGAUGGAAUUCCGCGUGUAGCAGUGAAAUGCGUAGAUAUGCGGAGGAACACCGAUGGCGAAGGCAAUCCCCUGGGCCUGCACUGACGCUCAUGCACGAAAGCGUGGGGAGCAAACAGGAUUAGAUACCCUGGUAGUCCACGCCCUAAACGAUGUCAACUGGUUGUUGGGAAGGUUCCUUCUCAGUAACGUAGCUAACGCGUGAAGUUGACCGCCUGGGGAGUACGGCCGCAAGGUUG
rnacentral:rRNA from 1 species